rnacentral:rRNA from 1 species
UGGGGAAUUGUUCACAAUGGGCGCAAGCCUGAUGACGCAACGCCGCGUGGGGGAUGAAGGUCUUCGGAUCGUAAACCCCUGUCGAAUGGGACGAAAGACUCGCGAGUGAAUACUUCGCGAGAGUGACGGUACCGUUAAAGGAAGCCACGGCUAACUCUGUGCCAGCAGCCGCGGUAAUACAGAGGUGGCAAGCGUUGUUCGGAAUUACUGGGCGUAAAGGGCGCGUAGGCGGCCCUCUAAGUCAGACGUGAAAUCCCCCGGCUUAACCUGGGAACUGCGUCUGAUACUGGAGGGCUUGAGUAUGGGAGAGGGAUGUAGAAUUCCAGGUGUAGCGGUGAAAUGCGUAGAUAUCUGGAGGAAUACCGGUGGCGAAGGCGGCAUCCUGGACCAUUACUGACGCUGAGGCGCGAAAGCUAGGGGAGCAAACGGGAUUAGAUACCCGAGUAGUCCCUGAGCGGGCUGGCAAGGCGCAU